rnacentral:rRNA from 1 species
GACGAACGCUGGCGGCGUGCUUAACACAUGCAAGUCGAGCGGUAAGGCUCCUUCGGGAGUACACGAGCGGCGAACGGGUGAGUAACACGUGAGUAAUCUGCCCUUCACUUCGGGAUAACCACCGGAAACGGUGGCUAAUACCGAAUACGACCAGUCUUCGCAUGAGGUGCUGGUGGAAAGUCUUUUCGGUGAAGGAUGUGCUCGCGGCCUAUCAGCUUGUUGGUGUGGUAAUGGCCUACCAAGGCUUCGACGGGUAGCCGGCCUGAGAGGGUGACCGGCCACACUGGGACUGAGACACGGCCCAGACUCCUACGGGAGGCAGCAGUGGGGAAUAUUGGACAAUGGGCGAAAGCCUGAUCCAGCAACGCCGCGUGAGGGAUGACGGCCUUCGGGUUGUAAACCUCUUUCAGUACCGACGAAGCGCCCUGUCGGGUGGUGACGGUAGGUACAGAAGAAGGACCGGCCAACUACGUG